rnacentral:rRNA from 1 species
ACCAGACUCCUACGGGAGGCAGCAGUGGGGAAUAUUGGGCAAUGGGCGCAAGCCUGACCCAGCAACGCCGCGUGAAGGAAGAAGGCUUUCGGGUUGUAAACUUCUUUUAAGAGGGAAGAGUAGAAGACGGUACCUCUUGAAUAAGCCACGGCUAACUACGUGCCAGCAGCCGCGGUAAUACGUAGGUGGCAAGCGUUAUCCGGAUUUACUGGGUGUAAAGGGCGUGUAGGCGGGGACGCAAGUCAGAUGUGAAAACCACGGGCUCAACCUGUGGCCUGCAUUUGAAACUGUGUUUCUUGAGUACUGGAGAGGCAGACGGAAUUCCUAGUGUAGCGGUGAAAUGCGUAGAUAUUAGGAGGAACACCAGUGGCGAAGGCGGUCUGCUGGACAGCAACUGACGCUGAGGCGCGAAAGCGUGGGUAGCGAACGGGAUUAGAUACCCCAGUA